rfam:Mucilaginibacter sp. OK098 genome assembly, contig: Ga0066759_104
AGAUGGUGGAGCAGCUACCACCUGCAAAAACGGGCGUCCCGAAAAGCCAAACGAGUAGGACCACA